GGGGUAUUAGCUUAGCUGGUAGAGCAGUUGACUCUUAAUCAUCAGGUCGUAGGUUCGAGUCCUACAUACCCCA
rnacentral:tRNA from 2 species